CGACUACUCCCUCUGGUCCAUAUUAAUUGUUGAAAUAUUACAUGUAUCUAGACUUUUAGAUAUAGAUACAUCCAUAUUUGGGCAAAUUUGAGACAAUUAAUAUGGAUUGGAGGGAGUACCUU
rnacentral:pre_miRNA from 1 species